UACGAAGGGGGCUAGUGUUGUUCGGAAUUACUGGGCGUAAAGCGCACGUAGGCGGAUUUGUAAGUCAGGGGUGAAAUCCCGGGGCUCAACCUCGGAACUGCCUUUGAUACUGCGAAUCUUGAGUCCGAUAGAGGUGGGUGGAAUUCCUAGUGUAGAGGUGAAAUUCGUAGAUAUUAGGAAGAACACCGGUGGCGAAGGCGGCCCACUGGAUCGGUACUGACGCUGAGGUGCGAAAGCGUGGGGAGCAAACAGG
rnacentral:rRNA from 1 species